rnacentral:rRNA from 1 species
UGUUAAAGGAGUGCAAGCAGGCGGGGUGAUACGGAGGGGCGGAGCGUGAGGCGGAAUCAUUGGGCGUAAAGAGCGGGGAGGCGGCCCUUUAAGUCCUGGGUGAAAUCCUGCGGCUCAACCGGGGACGGUCGUGGGAAACUGGAGGGCUAGAGUGGGCGAGAGGAGAGUGGAAUUCGCGGUGUAGCGGUGAAAUGCGCAGAUAUCGGGAAGAACACCCGUGGCGAAGGCGGCUCUCUGGAACGCAACUGACGCUGAGACGCGAAAGCGUGGGGAGCAAACAGGAUUAGAUACCCCUGUAGUC